rnacentral:rRNA from 1 species
GACGAACGCUGGCGGCGUGCUUAACACAUGCAAGUCGAACGGAAAGGCCCUUCUUUUGUGGGGUGCUCGAGUGGCGAACGGGUGAGUAACACGUGAGUAACCUUCCCUUGACUUUGGGAUAACUUCAGGAAACUGGGGCUAAUACCGGAUCGGAGCUCCUGCUGCAUGGUGGGGGUUUGAAAGUUUCGGCGGUUGGGUAUGGACUCGCGGCUUAUCAUCUUGUUGGUGGGGUAGUGGCUUACCAAGGCUUUGACGGGUAGCCGGCCUGAGAGGGUGACCGGGCACAUGGGGACUGAGAGACGGCCCAGACUCCUACGGGAGGCAGCAGUGGGGAGUAUUGCACAAUGGGCGGAAGCCUGAGGCAGCAACGCUGCGUGCGGGAUGAAGGCCUUCGGGUUGUAAACCGCUUUCGCCUGUGACGAAGCGGGAGUGACGGUAAUGGGUAAAGAAGCACCGGCUAACUACGUG